GAUAUUUUUAGGAUCUUGCCAUAGGAAUAUAUCACCCCACAAAAGUUUAAGAUUUGUUAUCGUUUGUGAGGCAUUGCAUAACAUCUGCAUAAAAUAUACAAUAGGUUACGACCCUUAAAAUUGCGAUUCUUAACACACAAAAGAAAUGGACAUGGGAAGCGACCCGUCUCACCGCAAUCGAACAACGAUAAGAAACCAAAUAAAAUAUUCUUUAAUAAAUUUAAUUCAAAAAUGUAUGUAUAUGUCCGUUACCUUGUAAAUAAUUUUUUGGUAAUGUCAACUAAAAUACAAAAAUUUUGUUCAUAUAAAUAUUUUUUUUGUAAGGAGAUAUUCCAUUCAUUGGUUUCUUAUUUAUGUUCUUUAUUACUAAAAAUUAUAAAAAACAUAAAAUUUAAAAAAUAUUUGCUCACAUUUCCAUAAAUUUGUCUAUUACGAUUGGUAAUUUGCGUUCGAAUGACGAUUCAAACGAACGGAUACGUUUAUAUACUCGUUCACGUAUGUCAUCAUGCCAGAUUACGAUGGAAGCGUUACGAUCACGUAUGUCAUAAUACGAAAUACAGGCUCUUACGUGACGAGUGAUACGUUCACGGAUGUAACGAUUCGACCCCUGUAUGUAAAACCCUGUGCGAAAUAGCAUACUGAAGUUUGAGUGGGAAUUAAAACAAGUAUAAGUAAAAACUGAGAAAAGUAUAAAACAAACAAAAAACAUUACCACAUAAAAGAAAAAUUUUGUACACAAACCCUAAGGCAAACAAGUAUCGCGAAUUCGCAAAAAAAGAAAUGCUAUUACAAAAGUAACAUUGUUAUUUUAUGCAAAAGCAUAAAAAUCAAAUUCCAAAGAAAUAACUAUAAGUGUGUUAACAACCUGACAAAAACUGAAACAAAAAAGAGUGACUUAAAUCACAAAAAUAAAUAUAAUUUCAAAAAUAUUUAUAGCACAGAGUUCUUUAAAAACAACAAAAUAAACAGUGCCAAUGAAAACUCCGCACCAAAAGCAAUAAAGCAGCGACCAAACAUAAAAGAAAAAAGCAACUAGUUUUCAAAACAACAGCAGCAGCAAAGGCAACAAGAGCAACACCGUAGCAGCAAAAGCAAGAACUAACAGCAACAGUAGCAACAGCAACAGUAACAACAGCAGCAGUAGCAACAACAACAUAAAGUUAGUUGUAAGUAAAUCCUAUAUUUAUUAAUUAAAUGGGAAAUAAUCCCACUAAUAUUAAGUAUGAAAAAUUGUUUCACUGUGAGUAUUGCAAAACCAAUAAUCAUGACACUCACAAGCGCCCUUACUUAAGAAAAAAUAAAACAAAAUAAAUUCUUAUACAUCUAUUAAACAUAUAUAAAUAAAAAAGAAAUUUAACCAUAUUUUUGUGAGUAUUGCUAUAUAUGCUAUUUCAUGAAACUCACAAAUAUAUAAAAAAAAAAACAAAACCGAAAAAUAAGGAUUAUAGAAAAGAGGCGAUAGUUCAAUAUCAAGAAAUAAAAAAUUUUUAAAGCGAACAAAAUAAUUUUACGAUUUUCAAAAUGGCAGUAAAUAAUUUUACUGAAUUGAUUAUUAUAAUGGAAGUCUAUCAGAAAUUGACAUUACUAAUAAAUAACACUAUAAUGACGCACAGCACCAAUUCAGAUAUUACAAAACAAUUAAAUAUCAAGAUCGAGAAAUCGUGUUAAGAACUUUUAUAACAGGUUUUUAAAUUACCCCCAAAACCAAAUGCUAUUUACAUUAACACCUACCGAUUUGCCAAAUGCUCUUGAUAAAGCACAAGAACUUCUUUCAAAUCAAAUACGAUCACAAUUUGCUUUGCAAUUUGGUUCACGAAACCAUCCUCAAGUUAGCCGAAGAUAUCCGAUUUUUCGGAAUAACUUAAGGUACCCUCAAACGGAUAAUAAUUCCUACCAAAUGUGUUCCAAUCACCCAGAAUCAACUAAUAAAUAAACACAGCCCUGUGCAAAGAAACCAACCACAUGUUAGGAGUAAAAGGUAUAAUUAGCAGACCAAUUAUCAACCAACAAAUAUACCAAAAAGGUCAAUUGAAAGUGCACAAAUAAGCACACAACCUCAACCAAAAAUUGAAAGAAUCAAUAAUAUUGGUGAGAACCAUUUUUUAAGGGUAAACUCCGAUUUUCCGUAAGUUAUUAAAACCGAUACAAAAACUGGGCAAAACUUCAGAAUUUUUAAUUUGAUUGAAAUUAAUUUCCUAAAUAAAAUCGGAGAGACAAUUGAUAUUCCAAACAGAAAAUUGAUUUAUGGGGAUAAUAAAACGGAGAAAAUAAAUGUUCUCAACAAUUUAAAUAUAAAAACCCCUAAACCCCUUGGGACAAAAAAAUCCUGAGGCACCCGUCAAAGAUAAUGCACGGAAAAUAAUUGAAAAAUGUUUAUCAUGCAAAUAUAAAAUAAAAAAUGAUACUACGGAUAGAAAAAUAAAUGAAGCAAAUGCUCACAACAUUUUAAUAGUAAAUAAUUUCAAUUGUAUUCAGGCAAUAAUACAAGCUUCUCAUUUCACCCCUAAGAAAUAAUGUAUGAAAAAGUAAUAUGGGGAAGGAAAUAAAUUAAACCCCAAAUACCAAAAACAAGUAGUAUUAGAAGAUUUAGGAAAUACAGUUAAAAUACAAAACAGAAACAGAAUAAUUCAUAAAGAUAAUAUCAAAUCUUAAAUCUUUUACCUUUAAUAUACAAGAAAAAGAAAUUUUUGUCUAAAUGAUGUCACAUAUAAAAAGACUUCCAUCAAAGAAUAAUUAGAAGUCGAAGAUAAUAUAAAAUGCAUCGAAUAUAUAUUUAAGAGCCAAAUUUAAAUAAAUUGUUAAUAUAAAUUAAGAUUUCAAAAUGGUACUGUUCAAAAUGAUAAAUUAGUCUAUGGCCUCAGUAUAGUACAUAUAUUGUACAUAUCUCUUUGAAUCGGGACGCUUCAAUUUAGAGGCGGGGGAGUUAAGUCCACCAGUUCAUAUUACAUGAACAUAUCAUUCAUUUGUCAUAAAUAUGUAACAUGACACUUACGACCCAUAUGGUCCGUAUUGAAACAUUGUACUUUGCUAAUACGGUCCGCCUUAAGUGGUCCUAAGAUGUAAUUCAUUAAUUGUAAGAUGAACCUUUCCAUUUAUAACAUAUGGUCUAUCUUAAGUGGAUUGUAGAUAUACUUCUUAGAAUGUAAGAUUACUAUUUGUAUCUAGGCUUAAGGAAAAUAUUGUAUUUAAGAAGAAACGAAAUAAAGAAACCACGGAGUUGCCCAUGGGAGUUGCUCAUGGGCAGUUGCCCGUAGUUGCCCACCAGAA